UUUUAUGGAGAGUUUGAUCCUGGCUCAGGAUGAACGCUGGCGGCGUGCCUAAUACAUGCAAGUCGAGCGAACAGACGAGGAGCUUGCUCCUUUGACGUUAGCGGCGGACGGGUGAGUAACACGUA
rnacentral:rRNA from 1 species